AACGAACGCUGGCGGCAUGCCUAACACAUGCAAGUCGAACGAGACCUUCGGGUCUAGUGGCGCACGGGUGCGUAACGCGUGGGAACCUGCCCUUAGGUUCGGAAUAACUCCCCGAAAGGGGUGCUAAUACCGGAUAAUGUCUUCGGACCAAAGAUUUAUCGCCUUUGGAUGGGCCCGCGUUGGAUUAGCUAGUUGGUAGGGUAAAAGCCUACCAAGGCGACGAUCCAUAGCUGGUCUGAGAGGAUGAUCAGCCACACUGGGACUGAGACACGGCCCAGACUGAUAAGGGAGGCAGGAGGGGGGGAUGUUGGACACGGGUGGGAAGACUGGUAAAGCAAUGGCGGGUGAGUGAUGAAGGGCGUAGGGGGGUAAAGCGGUUUGGCCAGGGAGGAUAAGGACAGUGCCGGGAAUAUAAGCUGCGGCUAACUCCGUG
rnacentral:rRNA from 1 species